rnacentral:rRNA from 1 species
GAUGAACGCUGGCGGCGUGCCUAAUACAUGCAAGUCGAGCGAACAGACGAGGAGCUUGCUCCUCUGACGUUAGCGGCGGACGGGUGAGUAACACGUGGAUAACCUACCUAUAAGACUGGGAUAACUUCGGGAAACCGGAGCUAAUACCGGAUAAUAUAUUGAACCGCAUGGUUCAAUAGUGAAAGACGGUUUUGCUGUCACUUAUAGAUGGAUCCGCGCCGCAUUAGCUAGUUGGUAAGUUAACGGCUUACCAAGGCAACGAUGCGUAGCCGACCUGAGAGGGUGAUCGGCCACACUGGAACUGAGACACGGUCCAGACUCCUACGGGAGGCAGCAGUAGGGAAUCUUCCGCAAUGGGCGAAAGCUUGACGGAGCAACGCCGCGUGAGUGAUGAAGGUCUUCGGAUCGUAAAACUCUGUUAUUAGGGAAGAACAAAUGUGUAAGUAACUAUGCACGUAUUGACGGUACCUAAUCAGAAAGCCACGGCUAACUACGUG